UUUUUUCGGCUGGCCACCCUGGCUGUCAAACGUAGUUAGGACAGCUCUUAUCUAUUUUACAUUAAUUUUAAUAUUUAAUUGUAUUUUUCAAGUGUAAAUCAUUGUAAAUCAACACAUUAAAACUUAGUUUAGUGAAAUUACCACAAAAAUCAAGCAUUCAACCCAUAACUGCAACGAAAUAAUGAAGGAAAAAUUUACCGGCCAGUGACAUGACAUGACGAUUUUGAAAAAUCGUCAAUACAACAAUUAAUUAAAACAGGGGAGUAUUGUUUUCAUAAUAUUUAUUUAGAAUUAAGUUAAAUGUUAAUUAGGACUAUAUUUCUAAUACUGAGCCUAGUGUCUCAAAUAAUAAAAUAUCUAGUAAUUGAGCCUAACCUCAACUUGUAAACAAAGUUUAUACUGCAUAAACUCAUAGGUCCUUUUUAGUUUCUUAGUUGUUUAAUAAUAUUAUAUCUGACACACCUCUAAUUCGAGGAAAUCAUUGCAUAUAACGGUGUUCAUAAUUAAAGAACAAUGGCAGGCAUGGUACCCAGUAAAAUUGAAGAUGUACGGAGUUGAUUUCUUGAUAUUAUAUACUCGAUACUUGGACACUUAUUUUACGUAUUUUUAUGAUUUUCCACAACUUUCGAGAAUAAAGAAAACAUAACUUUUGUUUUCAUUUGAAUACUGCUAACAAAACGCUUACCUGAAUAUGCAAUAAUAAAACGCAAUAGGACCCUUUUCUUUAGGGCCGUAACCUACAACUAUUUUAUUCAAUCAGAUAAAUCGAUUAUCGAUUAACUUACUUUACCAAUUAUUCAGAUAUCGACUUAAGAUCUAUAAAACCAUUGAUACAAUCAACAAAGUGAAUAUAAUUAUCGGUUUAGCUCUAUUUAUAUUCAUUUUAAUAAUAUAUUAUGCUAAUUAGAUUUAUGAGGAAUAAAUGGAGGCUAUUGAUUAUUAUCGAUUACUCCAAUGUAUCGUACAUUGCAUUACGUCAAGGUACGUCACGCGACUGACAUACAAGUACAACAACUGUCAAAUCAGUUCUUUGUUUACAUUCCAUCGUAUUACUUUUCUCUAUGUUCCAUCGUUUGGUGGUUUUCCAACGUUUCGUCGUCUCGGUGUGAUCAUAAAGUGCUGUUUAUGGUAUACCUACCUACUUGCAAAGUAAAGAACAGUCGAGUUGAGAGCACCCUAUGCCUCCCCCUGUCUUUUCUUUAGUAUUGUGAUACUAUCUUAGCGAAAGGAUGCUUGUUUGUGUAUUGUGAUCUGUUUGUAACCAUGUCUCUUCUACGCUGCAUCAACUGCGAUAUUCGAGUGACUCGAAUUAGGCGGCAUCUACUCCUGGAAGAGAGUGAGGCUCUUACAGAAGUUAUGAGACUGUGAACAUAUCCAAGAGAGAUCACAAACACUGACUAUUUGCCAUGCCUCUUGGAAACUUGGAAAUGCUCAAGUCACUGGAGCAAACAUUGUUGAGAAUCAAGAGAGGCUAAUUGGUCUUCACAACAUUUGUGUAGGAUGCGGCCGCUCGAUUUUCAGUCAGUUCUCGCACAAUAUUGAGAGAAACUCCUACAAAUGAAGAAGGCCCAAUAGUUGCUAUUAUAUCACAGUGGAUACAUCCAAGACAGAUUACUCAAAGUGAUCAAGCAUGUACCGCAUGUUGGUUACGCGCUCAGAGAACUCUCCGUCGUCAGCAAUUGGUUGAUGAGGCCAGAAACAUAAAUGAAGAAUUAACAACAUGUGUCAAUUGCAACAAAGAUUUGUUACAUAGCAAUGGCUACUUAUUGAGAAACGAAGACGAAAAUGUCAUCAACAUCAUUAAAAGCUGGAUAUAUCCUAAUAAUAUCAACCUCAUGGAUAGUAUUUGCCAUGCUUGUUGGCAACUUGCAAAUGAAGCAGCACGGCAAGGUUCUGAGUCACCAGAGACUGCAUCCCAACCGUUGGAGACAGAUGACCCUCCUGACUCACAUGAACUACAGGAAGAUAAUCAUGAGGAGGCGUGCCAUCAUAGAAUAUUGUUGCAACUGUAUUGUGGGUUUGAGGACAGUAGGGUGUUGCUCACAUGCACGGUAAUAGUAUUACCAUGUCACAUGUGAUGAGUAUCGUAUGGUAUUUAGCCUAUGCUUGUCACUUAGACAAUAUAUCACCACCUGCACAAGUGUUAGAUGGAAUUCUUGUAAGAAUAAACAUUGAAUAAAGCAGUAUAUUGAUUUUAA